rnacentral:rRNA from 1 species
GACGAAGCGUGCGAACGUUGUUCGGAAUCACUGGGCUUAAAGGGCGCGUAGGCGGGCUGUCAAGUCAGGGGUGAAAUCUUUCGGCUCAACCGGAAAACUGCCUUUGAUACUGACAGCCUUGAGGAAGGUAGGGGCAUGUGGAACUUCCGGUGGAGCGGUGAAAUGCGUAGAUAUCGGAAGGAACACCGGUGGCGAAAGCGACGUGCUGGACCUUUUCUGACGCUGAGGCGCGAAAGCCAGGGGAGCGAACGGG